AGAUCCUCUGGGUGCCCGGCCCUGGGGAGCUCGAAGCAAGGUCCCUGGGAUGGAUUCAGGCAUUCCUGAGAGUAUCCCAGGUGUACCUGUCCAUGCUAGAUGUGGAGCUCUCUAAUGGGCUGUAAUUGGGUUAUAAAAGUGGUGCUCCAACUGCAAAAGCAGUGUGGGAUUGGGAUUAAGAAAUGAGCAGUGAUGGUACAAUUGGCUGUUUUCUCUUGAAUGUAAUGGUAAGAGCUCCAGGAGUGCAAGGGGUGUGUUCCAGUCCCCACCAUUUGGUUUGCACAUGUCCUACUCAGACACAGGUCCAACUUCCUCAGUCCUUAACACAAUAGAAGGAGUGUGGCUUUAAAAGGCACAGUCUCUGUUUUGUUGGUAUAACAAAGAUGAAGACCUUUAUUAUAAUAAUGCAUAAGCUUAUAUACCCCAGGCAGAACAAUAGGUAAUUCACGCAGAACAAUUGGUGAUUUUCUACUUAUGCUUACUUUUUCAAGUCUACAUAAUACAGCAUAUGUUUUAAUAGAUGCAAAUAACUACAUUUCUCUGCAACCAAGGUCCUUCUUGCGGUCUUGUAUCUUCUUCUUCCGUGUCUUCUUUGUCCUGCUUUCUGUUCCCACAGCUUUCUGCCAGCUAGUGGAACAAUGUCCACCGUCCUGGGCCCGAGGGAUGUGACACUGUUCACCUCCAUAAUUCCCCCUUCUUUGUUUACAAAUAAAACAACCUUUAGUGCUUUGUUUACAGUUGGUUGAUCGCAUUGCAUCGAGCAUGGUAAGCACAUUACAAUACACAGAAACAUCCCCACACCGCCCGUCUUUACUAUGGAUUUAACCCAUGCUGAUAUUCCCCAACUAUUCAGCAGGUUUUCCAGCUAAUCCCAGCUAUCCUUAACCUGUAGCUUUGCAACUCCCUCUUGCAGCUGUUGGAUGCUUCUGUGAAUAGACUCCAAAUGAUGAGACAAAUUCAUACAACACAUUCCUUCAAAUUCUUUACAUUUGUGUCCCUGAGCCAAUAGUAAAAGGUCACUUGUAGCUCUAUUCUGUAACACAGCAGGUCUGACUGAAUUAACAUCUAAAAGCACUUCACUUAGUACCUUGUUUGUUGCAUUUGUUUGCUUUGCAAGCCAGCAUCCUCAUUUGUUUCUUGUAGCUAAUGCUUUCUCCAUUCCUACAGGGGCAAACAGUGAAGCAAAAAUUCGGGGUGCUUUAUCCCAGUAGGUUACCCUCUCGUCACAGGCUGCAUCAAAAGCAGGAGUAGAGCAUCAGUUUGGUCUUGCCCAAGCAGUGUGUGCAUGAGAACAUCAGGAACAUUUGGGACUGUAAAGGGACAGUGAGCUGGUCCAACUGUGGCAAGAAGAGCAAGUGGGCUGUGAAGGUUUGGAGCAGUCUGGAAGGUUCCUCGUGCCCAAAGGAUCCUGGACGUGUAGCGCUGGAAGAGUCAGGAAUAAUGACAACUGCCCCAGUUCUUGUGGAGCUCAACUGUGUAAAACAUUUAUGAAGCUGAAAUUCCACAGCAAUGACCUCUUGGGUCCCAAAUAAUAUUGGAGGGAGAGGCAGAAAAUCCCACUGCUCCUGGGGCUGGACUGUCUGCAGUGAGUGGGCAGGACUUGGCCCUGAUGCCUGAGUGCUCUCCAGCCUCCAGGAUUGAUCCCAGCUGUCAGCCCCUGGCUCCAUAACUUGAGAAGAUGGUGUUCCUGCACGCCCAGCUGCUGUGGUGGUGGUCCUGUGGGCACCUCUUGCCCUGGCCUGCUGUGGAUGUGUUUGUGUUGCAGCUCAAUAAAGUCCCUUUCAGUGGU